AGACACACAGAGAAAAGGAACGAAGGUACGGCAUUUUCGCCAUUUUGCGGCAUAGUGAGUGGCUCUGUGGCACCCCGUAUUGGGUCACAGGCCCAAACAAGCCCUGAAAGUUUUAAUGCUUUUUAUCAAGCUUUAAGUUAAAGCCCGGCCCAACCGAAUUGCUGACAUUUGAAACCGCUAUAUAAUGGCGUCAACCUCUGCAACGAAAUGAGACCAACUUACGAAGAAAGGGGCUUUCAUCGAUUUGUGUACUUCAGACUUCACGGUCUCAUCCAACUUCGACUCUGGAACUGGAACUAGACAACCAUGUCUCCUUAACUUCCCCAUUUCUCCCCUCUAACUCAUUUCUAUGAUUAAAUCCGAAUUAGGGAUUUUGCCGGUGUUUUUAGGAUGGUGGGAAGAAGGAAGCCGCUGGUGCUCUCUUCCACUAAAAUUCUCGUCCACUCGGUACUGAGUUCCACGCGACUCGAUGAAACCGGCCCAACCAAUCUUUCUGCUGACGGCUUGCAUUUAAAGGCGGGAAUUCUUAGGUUUUCGAAGGACGAAAACGACAUUUCUGAUCCCAAGUUAGCUUCUCUCGACGAUUCUGCUUUGGUGGGGCUCUCUACUUCCGUGUUGAAGAGACUGUCAAUAGUAUCCGGCUCGCUGGUGAUUGUUAGAAACGUGGAGACAAAGAUACAAAGAAUUGCUUAUGCUGUUGUUUUGGAUCCUCCAAAUGCCCAUGUCGACACAUCUCAAAGCAAAGAACUCCUAUCCCAUUCUCCACAUGUAAUGCUUAAGUUUCCUGCGUACAGUUUUCCUCAAAAUGACUCUGUAUUAUUAGACUGUGACGUUGCCUAUAUAUCUCCUUUAUUAGCUUUUAACCUUAACCUGCACAUAUCAUGCUUGAGAUCUCUUGUCCAUGAAGGGAAAGAGACUUUAGCAUCUCUCUUUGAAGCUGAUGUGGAUGAUAAGGCUGGCAGGGAAGGCACUGAUACUUCUGUUGUCAGUCUGUGGUUGGAACCUUUGGGUCGACUGCCAAAAUAUGCAUCACAUUUGAGGGUUUCCUUUGUUAAGAUACCAGAAUGCAGUUCCCUGGAAUCUUUGAGAGGAAUUUCUUCUAUUGAAACUGAAGAUCGCCAAGAAAUGAUUGAUUCAGCAUUACACAAGUACUUUGAAGUUGAUAGAUAUUUAGCAGGGGGAGAUGUUUUCAGCAUUUUCUUAAAUUGGAACUGCAAUUCAUUCAUUUGCAUUCCUUGCUGUUCAAGAUUGCAAAACAGGAGUAAUAAUAUCAUCUAUUUCAAGGUUGUUGCAAUGGAGCCAUCAGAUGAAGCAGUUCUUCGAGUCAAUCGUACUCAGACUGCUCUAGUUCUUGGAGGGAGUGCUCCAUCUGCUGUUCCCCCUGAUAUGUUGAUUGCUGGAACAAAAGGUUUUGUGCCUUUGCAAGGGGACACAGUGAAGAUUUUAGCAUCCAUUCUUACACCACCUUUAUGCCUCUCUCCGCUUUCCUUGAACUUCAGAGUUUCAGUUUUACUACAUGGUCUCCCAGGGUGCGGGAAGAGGACCGUUGUUAGAUAUGUUGCUAAGAGACUGGGUCUACAUGUAAUUGAAUAUAGCUGCCACAAUCUGACAGCAUCUUCAGAGAAGAAAACCUCUGCUGCAUUGACUCAAGCUUUCAACAGUGCGCAAAGAUACUCACCAACAAUACUUCUACUUCGCCAUUUUGAUGUUUUUCGGAAUUUGGCCUCUCAUGAAGGUUCCCCAAGUGAUCAAAUUGGGCUUUCCUCUGAAGUUGCAUCAGUCAUCAGAGAGUUCACUGAGCCAGAUGAAGAUGGUUAUGCUGAAGACAUAUCAAAUGGUGAUUUUCCUGUAAAGGACACUGGAAAUGUGGGUAGGCAUCAAGUGAUGUUAGUUGCAGCUGCUGAUGGUUCUGAAGGUCUGCCACCAGCUAUUAGGCGUUGUUUCACCCAUGAAGUAAGCAUGGAUCCCUUGACUGAAGAACAAAGGGCUGAAAUGUUGUCCCAGUCACUGCAAGGUGUUGCUGAACUCCUUUCUAAUACUUGCUUAAAGGAAUUUGUGAAGGACAUAGUAGGACAGACAUCUGGCUUCAUGCCUCGGGAUUUGCAUGCUUUAAUUGCUGAUGCCGGUGCAAACUUAGUCCCCAGGAGCAAUUUUCAAACUGACGAAGCAGAAUCGUCACAAUCAGAUGGUCCUCUUAGAGUUAAAGCAGUACAGGGUACGUCAAGCAAUACUGCAGCUUAUACUAUGGGGAAAGAGGACUUGGCAAAAGCAUUGGAACGAUCGAAGAAGAGGAAUGCCUCUGCAUUAGGUGCUCCAAAGGUUCCUAAUGUGAAAUGGGAAGAUGUUGGUGGGCUGGAGGAUGUGAAGAAAUCAAUUUUGGACACUGUCCAGUUACCUCUCCUGCAUAAGGAUUUGUUUUCAUCUGGCUUGCGCAAGCGUUCUGGUGUUCUUCUCUAUGGUCCUCCUGGAACAGGGAAAACUUUGUUGGCAAAAGCUGUAGCAACUGAGUGUUCCUUAAAUUUCCUUAGUGUAAAAGGGCCUGAACUAAUUAACAUGUACAUAGGAGAGUCAGAGAGGAAUGUUCGAGACAUUUUCCAGAAGUCUUGCAGGCUAGAUCAGCGCGGCCAUGUGUCAUCUUCUUUGAUGAACUUGAUUCUCUUGCUCCUGCUCGUGGUGCUUCUGGGGAUUCUGGGGGUGUUAUGGACAGAGUGGUUUCUCAGAUGCUUGCAGAGAUUGAUGGCCUUAAUGAUUCUACACAGGUUGUUUAUGCUACUUGUUACUAGAAAUACUAUAUUCCACUGCUUUCUGUCCAAAUAGCAUUGAAACUAGUCCUCUGUCCGGUUUUCCAGGACCUAUUUAUUAUAGGAGCAAGCAACAGACCAGAUCUUAUUGACCCAGCUCUUCUAAGGCCUGGCAGAUUUGACAAACUGCUAUAUGUUGGAGUCAAUUCUGAUGCAUCUUACAGAGAGCGAGUUCUCAAAGCACUUACAAGGAAGUUUAGAUUGCACGAAGAUGUAUCCCUUUACUCAAUUGCAAAGAGAUGCCCCCCAAACUUCACUGGUGCAGAUAUGUAUGCCUUAUGUGCAGAUGCUUGGUUUCAUGCUGCAAAGCGCAAGGUGUUGAGUUCAGAUUCAGAUUCUUCUUGCACAGGUCAAGCUGACUCCAUUGUUGUACAAUAUGAUGAUUUUAUGAAGGUGUUGGGAGAGCUUUCCCCAUCCCUUUCCAUGGCCGAGCUUAAGAAGUAUGAAAUGCUUCGAGAUCAGUUUGAGGGGUCUUCGAGCUGAAUCUGUGGUCAAUUCUACAAGUAUGUAUUGCAAAAAUACAAGCUAAAAAGAAAAAAAAGCCAAUAGUUUAGAUCAAUCUUUAUGAUAGAUGAAACUGUAUACAAAGCUGAAAUUUUGUAUCAUUGUCAAUGUUACACAGUAGAAUAUUCAAAUAAAAUGCUUGAUUCUAGAGAUUGGAGCAUUCAUUUUCUUAACAGUAUUUCAGAUUCCA